rnacentral:rRNA from 1 species
UGGGGAAUCUUGCGCAAUGGGCGGAAGCCUGACGCAGCAACGCCGCGUGUGGGAGGAAGGCCUUCGGGUUGUAAACCACUUUCAGGAGGGACGAAGCUACCUGGGUUAAUAGCCCGUGGGGUGACGGUACCUCCAGAAGAAGCCCCGGCUAACUACGUGCCAGCAGCCGCGGUAAUACGUAGGGGGCAAGCGUUGUCCGGAAUCAUUGGGCGUAAAGAGCGUGUAGGCGGCUUGGCAAGUCUGGUGUGAAAUCUUGCGGCUCAACCGCAAGCGGUCACUGGAAACUGCCUCGCUAGAGUCCGGAAGAGGAGAGCGGAAUUCCUGGUGUAGCGGUGGAAUGCGCAGAUAUCAGGAAGAACACCCGUGGCGAAGGCGGCUCUCUGGGACGGUACUGACGCUGAGACGCGAAAGCGUGGGGAGCGAACAG